GCCCUACAGUGACUGGCCAUAGUGAAUAGUGGAACUCCACAGGUGUGAGUCUGAUGUAUGCAAGAGAAAGUAUUUUCUAGGCAGUCCUGAGUGAACUGGCUUGUUAGAAUAUAUUUGUGCCCCUGUCUCAACAGAACUUGCUGGACCACCAGUAUCGUUGUUGUGGCCACUCCCUGAUGCAUUCUGAAGCCUGAUGUGGAGGAUUUUUUUUUAUGUAUUAAUCACUUAUAAUAUUCCUCCCUGUUCCUUCACUUUGUUCUUGUUUUUCCAGUUAGAUAUACACAUUUACACACACAUACACAUCUUGUCUCACUCAGUAUUUUUUAUUAAACAAUAUUUGAUUCAUUUA